rfam:Oryza glumipatula chromosome 3, whole genome shotgun sequence.
CCUGGUUUUCGUAUUCAACGUUUGACCGUCCGUCUUAUUUAAAAAUAUUAUGAAGAAAAAAUAAAAAUACAAGUCAUGCAUAAAAUAUUAAUCAUGUUUUAUCAUCUAACAAUAAUGAAAAUAUUAAUUAUAAAACAAAUUCAUAUAAGACGGACAGUCAAAUAUUGGACACGAAAACCAAGGUUUUUUUUUUU